AUUGAACGCUGGCGGCAUGCUUUACACAUGCAAGUCGAACGGUAACAGGUUAAGCUGACGAGUGGCGAACGGGUGAGUAAUGCAUCGGAACGUGCCCGGUCGUGGGGGAUAACGCAGCGAAAGCUGCGCUAAUACCGCAUACGAUCUAAGGAUGAAAGCGGGGGACCGUAAGGCCUCGCGCGAUGGGAGCGGCCGAUGUCAGAUGAGGUAGUUGGGGGGGUAAAGGCUCACCAAGCCAACGAUCUGUAGCUGGUCUGAGAGGACGACCAGCCACACUGGGACUGAGACACGGCCCAGACUCCUACGGGAGGCAGCAGUGGGGAAUUUUGGACAAUGGGCGAAAGCCUGAUCCAGCAAUGCCGCGUGCAGGAAGAAGGCCUUCGGGUUGUAAACUGCUUUUGUACGGAGCGAAAAGGUCUCCUCUAAUACAGGGGGCUCAUGACGGUACCGUAAGAAUAAGCACCGGCUAACUACGUGCCAGCCGCCGCAGUAA
rnacentral:rRNA from 1 species